UACGUAGGGUGCGAGCGUUGUCCGGAAUUAUUGGGCGUAAAGGGCUCGUAGGCGGUUUGUCGCGUCGGGAGUGAAAACCCAGGGCUUAACCCUGGGCUGGCUUCCGAUACGGGCAGACUAGAGGUAUGCAGGGGAGAACGGAAUUCCUGGUGUAGCGGUGAAAUGCGCAGAUAUCAGGAGGAACACCGGUGGCGAAGGCGGUUCUCUGGGCAUUACCUGACGCUGAGGCGCGAAAGCUAGGGGAGCGAACUGG
rnacentral:rRNA from 1 species